AGAGUUUGAUCCUGGCUCAGGAUGAACGCUAGCGAUAGGCUUAACACAUGCAAGUCGAGGGCAGCAUGGUCUUAGCUUGCUAAGACUGAUGGCGACCGGCGCACGGGUGCGUAACGCGUAUGCAACUUGCCUCACAGAGGGGGAUAACCCGUCGAAAGACGGACUAAUACCGCGUACACUCUAUGUUGGGCAUCCAAUGUAGAGGAAAUGAAAUUCGCUGUGAGAUAGGCAUGCGUCCCAUUAGCUAGUUGGUGAGGUAACGGCUCACCAAGGCGACGAUGGGUAGGGGAACUGAGAGGUUGAACCCCCACACUGGUACUGAGACACGGACCAGACUCCUACGGGAGGCAGCA
rnacentral:rRNA from 1 species